AAACUGCUAGGAUUACAGGCGUGAGCCAUCGCACCCAGCCCAUUUUAUAUCUUUUAUACAGUAUUUUUACUGUACCUUUUCUAUGUUUAGAUCUAUUUAGAUCCACAAAUACCUUCCAUCGUGUUGCAAUCACCUACAGUAUUCAGUACAGUCACAUGCUGUACAGGCUUAGAGCCUAGGAGGAAUAGGCUAUGCCACAUAGCCCAGGGGUGUAGCAAAAUCACCUAAAGAUGCAUUUUUCAGAAUCUUGAGCGACGCAUGACUAUAAUCUUAAAAUGAAGAUGAUGUAUCAGGGUAGUGAAAAGGUGGUUGUAGGGAAGGUGACAGAGUGGACAGCACCUGAGCCAAGAGGUGAAAGGUUAGCAGAAGUAUGCCAGACUGAAAAGAAACAUUCAUCCCAGUUAAAAAGACUCACUUGUUUGUUCAAUCAAUAUUUGGAUUCCCAUGAAGUGGCUGGCAGUAUCCUAGGGGCUGGAGAGUCUAUGAACAAGACAGACAAGGUCUCUGUUCUCAAGAAUAUUAUAGUCUAGAAGAGAGAGUGAGGCAAGACAGAUAAGCAAGUAAAUGAACAAGAAAUGUUCAGUUUGUGAUGCCUACCACAAAGAAAAUAAAGCAGGUUUAUGAGCAAGGAAUUGAAGUAAUUUACACCGUGUCACCAGGUAUGGUCUGAAGCAGUAACAGUCUGACCUGAAAUGACAAAAAAGAUUCAACCAUGCAGAGAUCCUGGAAGACAAUCCAGAGUUUUAUCUGAGAAUUUUACCUGGGGAAAUGCCAUGAUGAUCCCAUCUUUUUAAAGAUUAUCACCCCUACUGCGGGGAAGAGAAGAAGACAAGAAUGGAAGCAGAGACUUGCAGCUGGGCUACUGCAGUGGUCCAGACGAGAGAUGCCAGUGGCUUGGCCUAGAGUGACAGCAGUGACACUCUGAAGAAAUGAGCAGAUUCAGGAUACACUCUGGAGGCAGAGCCAAUAUUGUGGAUAUAGGGAGUGAGAGGAGAAAAAAAGAAUGAAGUGGCUUUAAUACCUGGUGAACAGUAAUGCCACUGAGCGAGACUGGGAAGACUCGGGGAGGAACAAGUGCUGGCAGAGAAUCAAGAGUUCUGUUGGUCCAAACACGAACACAUUCAACGUCAACUAGAAAGUAGGAGGGUGGUUGCCGGGGGCUGGGGAAAGGGAGAAAUGGAGAGUUAUUGUUAAAUGAAUAUUAAGUUUCAGUUUCUACAAGCGUUAUGGGGAUGGAUGGUGGUGAUGGUCGCACAGCGUUAAGGAUGUAUUUAAUACCACUGAACUGCACACUUUAAAAAUGGUUAAGAUGGGGCCGGGCGUGGUGGCUGACACCUGUAAUCCCAGCACUUUGGGAGGCCGAGGCAGGUGGAUCACUUGAGGUCAGGAGUUCGAGACCAGCCUGGCCAACAUGGCGAAACCCUGUCUCUAUUAAAAAUACAAAAAUUAGUCGGGUGUGGUGGUGCAUGCCUGUAAUCCCAGCUACUCAGGAGGCUAAGGCAGGGAGAACUGCUUGAACCCGAGAGGUAGAGGUUGCAGUGAGCUGAGAUCAUGCCACUACACUCCAGCCUGGGUAACAGAGUGAGACUCCAUGUUAAAAAAGGUUAAGAUGGGAAAUUCUGGCCAGGCGUGGUGGCUCACACCUGUAAUCCCAGCACUUUGGGAGGCUGAGGUGGGUGGAUCACCUGAGGUCGGGAGUUCAAGACCAGCCAUGACCAACAUGGAGAAACCCCGUUUCUACUAAAAAUACAAAAUUAGCUGGGCAUGGUGGCGCAUGCCUGUAAUCCCAGCUACUCAAGAAGGCUGAGGCAGGAGAAUCAUUUGAACCCGGGAGGUGGAGGCUGUGGUGAGUUGAGGUCGUCCCACUGCACUCCAGCCUGGGCAAGAGCAAAACUCAGUCUUUAAAAAAAAAAAAAAAAAAAAAAAAAAAAGAUGGGAAAUUUUAUGUCGUAUUUUACCACAAUAAAAAAAAAUUGAAAAAAAAAAAAGAUAUCAACUAGGCAAUUGGAUAUAAGAAUUUGGGGAUUUCUGGACAGAUCUAGGCUGUUGUUAUCAACUACUGGCAUCAACAGCAUACCUCCAGAGAUCACCUGAGUAUUUAAACAAUGGCCCAGAGAUUACCUGAGUCAGAUAGAGAGGAAGGCAGAGGACGGAGUCCUGGCGCACCCCACCACUCAGGGGUCACAAGACAGAGAAGGGACAACACGCGACUGUGAGGAGGUGUCUGAGGUGGCAGAAAACACAAGUCACAGAAGUCUGGUAGUCACAUGAUUGCCCAGACAUCCCGGCCAAUAAAAGGGACUUACAACACUCAGCCUCUCUGUUUGCCUAAGGUGGCAGGUCACGUACAAUUCCCUAUUCUUCCCUUUUCACAGCUCCCCUGCCAAUCCACUAAAUGUAGAGUGACCACAUAGUUUUAUCAAUGUUCUAUUCACUUAUAUAUUUUAUUUACACACUUGAGCUUUGAGAGUAAAAAGGAGAGCUUUUUAUAACCAUGUCAGGACAACAGCAUAACCCAUUAUCCUGGGUGCACCCUGGGGUGUAACCACCCUUUCUACACAACUAAGCACUCAACCUGGACUUCUAGACAAACUUAUUAAUGCUUUGGGUAAGAUUUCCCCACCCGUGCUCCUUGCUGUUUCUCCCAGAAAUUCUCACAUGGAAGAAAAAUGAAAGGGUGCAGUGUGUUGGAGGGGUGGAAUUCUACCAAUCAAGUUAUGCACAAAAAGCAUAAAAGGAACUGUGGGUCCUUUUGAGUCACCCAGGAGGACACAGAGCCCCCAAAUUAAACGAAGGGCACCCAUGCGAGGGCUGGCCGACCCUCGCCACCUAUGUCUUGGUUUCCCCCACUGUAAUACUGGGAACCCCACUUCUCCCAGGCCUGCUGCGAAGAUGAAGCCAGCAAAUGCACGCCCUCUCUUAGCUCUGGACCGGGCAGGUGAAAAGCAGGGAGGUGUUCAUAAAAGCAGUCCCCACCGCUGAAGGGUCCUCAACUCGGGGU
rnacentral:lncRNA from 1 species